GACGAACGCUGGCGGCGUGCCUAAUACAUGCAAGUUGAGCGCUGAAGGUUGGUACUUGUACCAACUGGAUGAGCAGCGAACGGGUGAGUAACGCGUGGGGAAUCUGCCUUUGAGCGGGGGACAACAUUUGGAAACGAAUGCUAAUACCGCAUAAAAACUUUAAACACAAGUUUUAAGUUUGAAAGAUGCAAUUGCAUCACUCAAAGAUGAUCCCGCGUUGUAUUAGCUAGUUGGUGAGGUAAAGGCUCACCAAGGCGAUGAUACAUAGCCGACCUGAGAGGGUGAUCGGCCACAUUGGGACUGGGACACGGCCCAAAAUCCUACGGGAGGCAGCAGGAGGGGAUCUUCGGCAAUGGACGGAAGUCUGACCGAGCAACGCCGGGUGAGUGAAGAAGGUUUUCGGAUCGUAAAACUCUGUUGGUAGAGAAGAAAGUUGGUGAGAGUGGAAAGCUCAUCAAGUGACGGUAACUACCCAGAAAGGGACGGCUAACUACGUG
rnacentral:rRNA from 1 species